rnacentral:misc_RNA from 1 species
UGUUGAGCCAAGGGUGAGGAGAGUCCCAUGUCCCAUUGGCUCUGGCGUGUUCCUCCACUUGCUUCACACGCGAUAAAAAUUCCACGUAGGUGACGUCCAUUUGGAACUUCAAAUCGUUGAUAAAUCCCAGCCGUCCAAGCAAGCUCUUCACAACCUGCACCAAUAGAAACCUAGUUAAUCGUGGGCAUUUACGUCAUUUGGAAAUCCACUUAUUCCAGAAGACAAUGGCUUUAUGGCCAUUUGUGGAAUUGUGGGGUCCAAAAUGUCAGCAAAACCCCCAUGAUCAGAGCCAUAACAUCUCUCUCCCUGCAACAUUACCAUUUUACCCCUCGUCACAAGUCCAGAUUACGCAAAUGGCCAGGUUAGAAAUUACACUCGUAACAUAAUCCAAGCACAGUGUCAAUCUGGUAAUUACGCUACUGAUUGCACGGCCAUUUCUACGCUCUCCUUGCCAGAAAAUCCAAUGAUAGAUACAUAAUACCGUAUAGUCAGUUUCAAAUGGAAACAUAUUUUUUUUUAUUUUGCUAUAUUGUUUAGUCCAGUAGAAUCGAAGGUGUCAUCAUGAGGACGAAAAUAAGCGUCCACCAUGGCUCAGCGUCGUACACGUGUGACUGAAAUUGGGGUCUUUUGACUUUUUACAGUGACCGUCGUCCGGCGGGACAGUUUUUUUGAUGUGGUGCUGGAGACUGAACUCAUUUAUGGUUCUGAGUGGGCCUACUUAGCAAUUACUAGGUCAAAACUCAGCCAUCACUGGACACCGCGUGGCCCCAUAGUUUCUACUUUUCUAUGUUCUAGUAAAAUUCUUUUUAGUAUAGGGUUUAAUCCAACGAAGUCGACAUUGGGUUGCAAUUGAGCUUACUGCGAGGCUGAAUGCAGCAGAUCUUAAAAUAAAUAUACAAGAAGUGAAAUGGGAUUGGUGAAUUAGUUACCGUAUCAACAGCUGAUGGGUGGUCACUGUUUUGGUAGUGUAAAGCAACUUCAAGGCAGUAAAGAACAGAGCCAGCGGUUGGAGGGAUGGCCGUCUGGUCAAACCCCUGGUCCGGGUCCAACGGCACUGAUGGCCACCCAUUUACGGGGUCAUCACUGUUCACGAACACGAACCCUUCAACGUAAUCAAAUGACUUGCCCUCUGGAAGAGUCACCAGCCACUCUGCGUCCCGGGUGAACUCUUCGAACUCGGAAUACACUACCCUUAUCCAUCUCACCAUGUCUGGUGCUCGCUGCAACUUCACCCUAGCCCUGGUUAUGAUACCGAACUGACCAAGACCACCCAAGGCUCCGAAGAAGAGUUCAGAAUUUUCUCUCUCGGAGCAAGUCAAUAUGUCGCCUUUUCCAGUUACCACAUCUAACUCACUCACGUUUGACGAUUGCGGUCCAUAACGGAACGCUUGCCCACUAACGCCGGCGUUAGAUAACGUCCCCCCUACGGUUAGACCCAGAUAGUCAGUCCACGACCUGGGAGCAAGAUUGAACCCGGAAACGCACCGUAUUAGCACGUCUUCCCAUAAUGCCCCUCCGGACACAUCAACGAAUAUUUCCCCAUUCAUUCUCACAAUCUUGAAUUGGUUUUCUGCGGUGGACCGCAUGUCUAUCACCACUCCACCAUCGGCCAUGGCUUGACCGUUGAUGGAGUGGCCGUUACCCCUCGCGGCCACAGUCAUACUAGGUGACCUGUACGCUGCUUUCACCACCCUGGCUACGUCAUCGGCUCCGGCUGGCCUGAUUAUAGCCAAGGGCUUAAAAGAAUACGUGCCGCCGAAAUCUUUACCGGCUAAGCCGGUAGCCACGCAGUCGAUGCUGCCUUGGAGGUCUAGAGACUGGCAUAUGUUGGGCAAGUCAUCAUCUUGUCUAGAUUCGGUGUCGUUCUCGUGGAUGAAUCUCUCCAGGCAUGCUAUCAUCGUCGACGCCGAAGUGAGGUUCUUGUUUCUUGCAAGUCAAUUUAUACGGUAGCCCGUCUCUCUCUCUCUCUCUCUAGC